rnacentral:lncRNA from 1 species
CAAGCGCGACCCCCAAGGUUAUUUAGUCGCCCCGCUUCUCCUCUCAACCCUAGCCUCACCAUUUCCAUCCUCCUCUUCCCCUCGCGCCGUCAGAUGGGUUACAGGGAUGCCGUCGGCAUGGGAGGGCUCAGGUGAGCUCGACACCACCACGAGGUCAACGCCUUCUUCCUCUCCGACAACGCCAAGAGCAUGCGGGGGUCGUGGGAGAUCCAUUCCCGCGGAGAGCGUGCAACGAGUACGACGACAUCGAUGACUCCACGACGGCCCCUUCUUCCUCCAGUCUGGCGAUCAUCGACAAAACCUCUGCGUCGUCGUUCCCCUCCGUCGAGCAGGCCGAUUCCUCAGACCUCUAGGUGAGCAUGCGCCCCGCUCCCCUCCGUCUUUAUCUGUUCUCUCUUCGUGUCCGUCGUGCACCGUUGCCGUGGUUAUCCGGCGAGGCACAUCAGUGCAGCUGCGUGCUUGCGAGCACCAGUGGGUGUCGGGGUCUUCCUCCCCCUCCACAGCGUUUCUAUUAGUGCAGAUCCCCCCUUCGUAGCUUCGAUGCGUGAGUGUGUGCGCGGUGUGACGUGCAGCUCCGGCGAGAGAGCACGUCGCCGACACUUCUCUGUCUAGCAGUGGAGAGACCAUGUUAGUUAUGUCUGGUGUGGAUCCCCCUAGCAGAGCAGAUCCACCACCCUAGCCUAGUGGCAACCGAACUAGGCAUACUCCACGGCAUCGUGGGUUCGAACCCCCUGGCGCCCCCUUUUUAUUUCGGUUGUUUUCUUGUGCAUGCAGAGUAGCAGCUCACCUUACCUGAAGCCCAGAAUAGUUCAGCUAGACCCGAGUGGCCUAGUGGUAGCGGGUGUGUGCGGGUGUGUGUGAGGUGCAGGGUUCGAACCACCCUGCACCUAUUUUUGUUGAGUGUAUUUUCCACUGUGUGUGUGUAUGUAGUGUGGCAGGGCCCACUUGUCACACUUGCUAGGGGGCCCCUGGUGCCUAUGACCAGUCGGGCCCCAUGCCAACUAUUGUUUUGUGUGUGUUGUGGUAUUAUUGAGCUUAUUCCCUUUUAGGCAUUAGUCCAUUUGGGGAAAUAGCCAGAUCUGGCGUAUCCCAUAAUAGGCAAGUUUUAACUUAUAGUUUGUUGUAGGAAUUGGGUGAUUUUUCUUUUUCAGAAUUGGGGGUAUUUUAUCCUUAGGUAUAUAGGAGUGUGAUAUAUGCUUUUGGGGUAUAAAAUCCCAAGGAUUCCAAUGAUGUUACUAGAUUCUGGUUUUGAGCGUUUCUGUAGAAGUCUCCUUGUGGUGAUGUGGCAAUAGUUUUAUCUGUGUAGGGUGGUUCAUGUGCAUGGUAAGAGAUAGUGCAUGCAUGCAUCAUUAUGUCUGUGGCAUCAUCUACUUGCUGGCAUUUAUUUCCUGCUUGUUUCCUUUGGGUAGCUACUCGGACCGGAAACGAGUUCGAAGAGUCCGGUGAGUUCGUGUAGGAAUAUCGUGAUCAGUUCCACUCUGAAGAAACCACAUGCAAGAUGAUCGUGACCUUGACACCGUUUCUAGCUUUGUUUCGCUUAGUGUUAGGUUUCAUUCGUUACAUCUCCGUUGCCUACCACAUGAUAUAUAAGCCAUCAAACAUUUCCAUGAAACCUCAAACACCUCCCCUCCUAGCAAAGAUUGUUUGGCUAAGUUAGGCUUGCUCAACCACUAAAUUGUUAGUGUUGCUAGUUGCAGGUGCCAGCUGGUCCAUGUGAUAACAUGGGCAUUUGAUAUCAUCAUAUUUAAUUGCUAUUUAAUUAAUGAACAUAUAUACUUGGCAAUAACGGAAGGCCUAGCCUUUUGCCGGGUGAUUUGUUCCGUUGUUGCCACCUUAGUUUCGGCUAUCGGUGUUUUAUUCCUUAACUGAGCGAUCCUAACACGUUCGGGGUUGUUAUGGGGACCACCUUGAUAAUUCGUUUAGAUUAAAUCUUCUCCAGCCAUGCCCAACUUUGGUGUUAAAUUUGCUAAUAACUUAAUAAAAAGCAUAGGGAAUAGCUACCCUGAGGAAUUAAUCAACAACCCGGGUCAGAGCUCCUCAUGAGUGUUGGUCCAACCUGAGUGAUGUCCGGCGCCCCCUGGUCACCCAGGGUUUAGCCAACCCGAAGUCUAGCUCAUCCGGUCGUGCCCUGAGAACGAGAUACACGACUCCUAUCGGGACUAUCGACACGCGGGGCGGCCUUGCUGGAUUAGUUUUACCUUUUACGAGAUAUCUUGUGCAUUGGGAUUCCGGUGAGACUUUGGGUCUUCUCACAGUUGAGGUUUUUCCACUAAGGAAUCGGACGAGAUCACGAGUUUCGUGGUAGAGGAUUACUAUGCGGCCUCUGGUAAUUUGUGAUGGACUAGUUGGAGCACCCGUGCAGGGUUAAAUCUUUCGGAAAGCCAUGCCUGCGGUUAUGUGGCAAACAUGGAUAUUUUGUUAACAUCCGGUUCUAGACAACUUAAAGUAAUUCAAAUAAAAGUUGCCAACUGAGUGUGUAACCGUGUCUGUUUCCUUCAGAGCUCCUUCUCUAAUCGAGAACAGAGCGGGGUUAUGAAUGACGUAAGUAGGUGUUCAGGAUCACUUAGUGAUCAAUCUAGUCUUCGACCGUCUUACAUAGACCACCAUAUGUUAUCCCUGUUCUUCGUAAGUUAACCACCAUCUAUGCUUAGGAUACUGCAAACUCAAACACUUAACCUACCUCACCUAUUUAACUUAGUUAGACUCGAUACCAAGGUCAUGAGAUUGCUGAGUCCUCGUGGCUCACAAUUUACUACAAACCCCCAUAGGUAUAGGUACCCCACACGCAGGUGUUUCCGAUGAUAACCAGCUGAGGUGGGAGUUCGACGAGGAUAGUGGCAGGCUGGAUGUGACGUAUCCCGAGGACUAGAGGUGCAUGUUCGUGAUCAUGGGACUAGCCAGAUGGGAUAGCAUGAUUUUUCCGUUUAUCUUGUCCGUAGUCGGACCCUCCUUUAUGUAUUUAUAAUGAAUACUUGUGUGGAUUGUAAUUUAGCAUGUGGCGAGUGUAAGCCGAAUCUUAUACUCAUCUCUCUAUUUAUGUAAUGGCAUUGCUAUCCUAGUUGCAAUACACUUAGAUGGGACCCUUUCCCCUUUUGAGGCCUCGUCCCCAAAUAAGGAAAGUGCCGCAUCUUGGUCGUUACAAGUUGUUAAUCAGAGCCUUACGACCAUAGGAGCCUUUGUGUGAUCGAACUUGGCCGAGUCGAGUCUAGCAAAAACUAUUUUGAGUCUUAGUUAUAUCGGAGAGUAGGUUUCUUUUUUCUCUUCUUCUAUGCUCUCAUGAUGCUCGUGACUUGGGAAAUUUUAAUUCUACUGCUCUUCUUGCUCGAAAAAAAUUUAGGAUCACGCGGAUAUUUUGAAAUCUAUAUGAUAUCGAUGUGAUGGAGUUCUGUCUUGGUGCCUCCUGCUGUGUUGAUUUUAUUCCGGGGAGUUGAGCUCCAGGGAAUUCUUGAGCACAUCAUUAUCAUUCAGAUUUCUUAGUAUCUCAUGAUGAAGGAUGUUUGAAAUUGAUUCAAUACUAGCAGUGGCGAGAGGAGUGUGGCUUCCCCAGUACUGGUGCAGAUAGGUCCGGAUGUAUCGCCAUACUUAGUAUCGUUGUGAUUACGAGGAUAUGAGAUAGAUGAACUUCCAAGAUUUUGGUUAUGUGUUGACGGAUGUGAUACACUAGAAGGGUUAGAUGCUAGGAGUUGAGUGAUAUAUUACUCCUUGUAUCCGUGGACCAGAUUGCAUGACCAGAAAUUUCGGGAGUUCUUAGGUGGGAAUUCAGGUAGUUACUUAUAGGACAUUCCUCCAACAGAUGCAUGAUGUGAGGUUUUGAUUCGACAUCUAGUGGAUUCGUUUGUUCAUGGUCAUCUUACAAUGGUUCUCGUUGUGUCUAAAAGUGUCCUUUGUAACGACUAAGAUGCGGUCCUUUCCAAUUUAGGGAACGAGGCCCCGAAUUGUAAAGAAGCGCAUCUAAGCGUUUCGCAAGCACGGUAAUGCUACUCCGACAACAGACCUUUCCUGGUACGGCGCCAGGAAUCAUGUUGCUACGGCUACGCCUUUAGGGAAUUCCUUGGCAAAUAUGCAAAGGAUUUGCCCCCGGCCUUGGAGCCUUGCGUUGGUGUUCCCUUGAAGAGGAAAGGGUGAUGUAGCACAGCGGCGGUAAGUAUUUCCCUCAGUUUUGAGAACCAAGGUAUCGAACCAAUGGAAGAUCUCGUCAAGUCACAAGUACCUGCACAAACACAAAGAGCUUGCACCCAACGCUAUGAAGGGGUUGUCAAUCCCUUAUAGAUUGUUUGCAAAGUGAGAACUGAAAGCAAAGAGUAAACAGAGCAAAGUAAAAGUGAAAGUGGAAACGAUAGUUGUGAAUAGACCCGAGGGCCGUAGUGUUCACUACUGGCUUCUCUCAUGAAAGCAAGUAGACGGUGGGUGAACGAAUUACUGUCGAGCAAUUGAUAGAACCGCGCAAAGCAGUGACGUUAUCUAAGGCAAUGAUUACAUAUAUAGGCAUCACGUCCAAAACAAGUAGACCGAUACUUUCUGCAUCUACUACUAUUACUCCACACAUCGACCGCUAUCCACCAUGCAUCUAGUGUAUUAAGUUCAUGGGAAUAGAGUAACGCCUUAAGCAAGAUGACAUGAUGUAGAUGGACAAUCUCAUAUCUACGAGAAAAGCCCAUCUUGUUACCCUUGAUGGCAACAACACAAUGCGUGCCUUGCUGCCCCUUUUGUUACUGGGAAAGGUCACCACACGGUAUGAACCCAAAACCAAGCACUUCUCCCAUUGCAAGAAUCAUAGAUCUAGUUGGCCAAACAAAACCCAAGACUCGGAGAUACUUACAAGGAUAUCAAAUCAUGCAUAUAAGAAAUUAGCAAAGACUCAAAUAUAAUUCAUAGUUAAUCUGAUCACAAAUCCACAAUUCAUCGGAUCUCGACAAACACGCAGCCAAAGAGGAUUACAUCGGAUAGAUCUCCAUGAAGAUCAUGGAGAACUUUGUAUUGAAGAUCCAAGAGAGAGAAGAAGCCAUCUAGCUACUAACUACGGACCCGUAGGUUUGAACUAGACUACUCACGACUCAUUGGAGAGGUGAUGAUGUUGAUGUAGAAGCCCUCCAACUCCAAAGUCCCCUCCGGCAUGGCACCGGGAAGGGUCUCCAGAUGAGAUCUCGCGGAAACGGAAGCUUGCGGCGGCGGAAAAAUGUUUUCGUGGAUGCCCUGAUUUUUUUCUGGAUUUUAGGGAAUGUGUAGGCGAAAGAGCUAGGUCAGGGGGCGCCAAGGAGGCCAUAGGCCUAGUAGCCGCCGCCCCCCUGGUGGCGGCUACAGGGCUUGUGGCCCCCCUGUGGCUCUCGUGCCUUUGCCCUGAAGUCCCGUGAUCUUCUUCCGUUCUGGAAAAAUUUAUUUCGGGGAUUUUAUUCCGUUUGGACUCCGUUCCAAAAUCAGAUAUGAAAAGAGUCAAAAACACGGAAAAAACAGGAACUAGCACUUGGCACUGAAUUAAUAAGUUAGUCCCAAAAAAUAUAUAAAACGUAAACAAAACAUCCAAAGUUAACAAGAUAACAACGUGAAACCAUAAAAAAUUAUAGAUACGUUUGGGACGUAUCAAGCAUCCCCAAGCUUAACUCCUGCUCGUCCUCGAGUAGGGAAGUCAUAAAGAAUGAAUUUUUGAUGCUUUCAUGCUACCUAGCAUACAUGUCCUUUGUAACUCCUCUUAUGUGACGUGAAUGUUAAGAUCAAUUAGAUUCAAAACAAUAGUUUGCUAUUGACGUGGAGACAAUAAUAAUCAACAAACUAGCAAGGUAACCAUGAACUUUCAAAAUAACAAGGCCAAAAGAAAGUUAUCCCUACAAAAUCAUAUAGUCUAGCUAUGCUCUAUCAUCAUUGCACAACGAAUUAAAUCAUGCACAACCCCGGUAUUGGCCAAGUAAUUGUUUUCACACCUUUACUUCUCAAACUUUUUCAACUCUCAUGCAAUACAUGAGCGUGAACCCCGGUAUUGGCCAAGUAAUUGUUCCCGAUCGAAGAGAGGUCUUUAGAGGGGACAAUCACGGUUACGCACACAGUUGGCAAUUUUAUUAGAUUAUGUUCAAGUUAUCUAUAACCGGUUUUUAACAAAUAUUCCAAGUUGCCACAUAACCGCGGGCACGGGUUUCCGAAAGAUUAAACCCUGCAGGGGUGCUCCAACUUGUCCAUCCCAAACGGUCACGGGCCGCAAAGUAAUCCUCUUUCACGAAUCUCGUGAUCUCGUCGGAUUCCUUAGAGGAAAACCUCAACUAUGGGGAGAACCAAAGCUUCACCGGGAUUCCUAUACGCAAGAUAUAUCGCUAAGGGAAGACAAGACUAGCAGGACCUCCCGUCGUGUCGACGACCCCGAUAAGAGCCGCGUAUCUCAGUCUCAGGACACGACGGAUGAGCUAGACGUCGGGAUGGCUAAACCUCUGGGUGACCAGUGGGGCCCCGAACAUCGCUCAGGUGGGGCCAACACUCAUGAGGAGCACUGGCCCGGGUUGUUGAUUAAAUUCCUCGGGGUAGCUAUUCCCUAUGUAGAUUAUUAUUUAGUGAUUAGCAGAUUAAAACCAAUGUUGGGUCGUGCCGGACAAGUCUUAACACUACACGAUUUAUCAAGGGGGUCCCCAUAACAACCCCGAACGUGUUAGGAGCGAUCAGUUAUGGAAUCAAACACCGGUAGCCGGUAACUAUGGCGGCAAUAACGGAACAAAACACCCGGCAAAAGGCUAGGCCUUCCGUUAUUUACCAAGUAUAUAGGUGGAUUAAUUAAAUAUCAAAUUUAACAUAAUGAUAUCAAACUCAUGUUAUCACAUGAGACAAUAGCACCUACAACUAGCAACGCUAACAUUAGAAGUUGAGCAAAGCCUACUUAGCCAUUCAAGAUUUGCUAGGAGGGGAAAGUGUUUGGGUUUCAUGGCAAUAUUAGGAGCCAAUUAUUUCAGUGGUAGGCAGCGAGCAUAUGACGGAGAAACGGGAAACUAGCAUAACAAGUCUAGAGAUGGAAUCAAGGUCAUAUCAUCUUGCCUGUGAUGUCCUCAACUUGGAACUGCUCUUGUUCGUCCUGCACGUACUCUCCCAGAUCCACGUACUCGUUCUCCGAUCCCGGUGCUACCCAACAUAAAAAUAGCAUCCAAUGAACAACAACAACACAAGAUGCAACAAGCACAUGAUGCAUGAGAUGAAUAUGAACAUGCAUCUCUAUUCUAGUCACUAGCACAAGCAUGAGAAGCAAAUACAAGUUCCUGGACAGAACUGCACUCUAAGCUAUCUUGACAUGCAUGAGAAUGACAUGAACAGAUGCGUCACGUGAAAACGAUGCAAAAACAUAUAAAGAAUGUAACGAACGGAGCUAUGGUUCAACGGGAAACAACGAAACAAUAAUUGAAGUCAUUCGUAUCAAAAUCAUCACAACACACUCCAAUGGCAUACUUCUGGUAUUCCCAGGUUGCCAAAACACAAAACAAACAAGAAUGGAUGGGGUGGUGCAAAGAAUAUCACCACACCAUCAACUAUGCACUCACAAGCAUCAAAAUAUCAAAACCAUACAGUCUGCCAUAAACAGCAACAUAGCAUUUUGAGGGAUACAUGCAAAGCACCUACAGCCACCCAAAUAUGCCAAAUAGGAUAUGUGGCAAAAGCUAAUCAAAAGUACUACAAGCAUGACCAAAAGGCUAAUACAAAGGAGUUUCACACAGAAAGUUACACAGGUGCUAACUUGGACAAAAAUAUUAGUUUUCAAGGACUUAGUGAAAAUUCCAGAUUCUCACCAGCUGUUUAUGCUCUGAAGCAUUUUGACAGCACCCAAAACAAUAUCUACAGGAUUCCAAAUGGAAUGAAAAUUGCAAAGAGCUAGACAAACACAAAAGCUACAACUUUCCAGUUGAUAGCAAAGGCUGAUUCACAACACAUGGCCUUCUACAAGCACAACAACAGGAGAAGAAAAUAUAAGCAGAUUCUCAGACUUAGUGAAAAUCACAGAUUUUCACUAAACUGGAAUUUUAGCCACAUGCCUACUUUGACUAGGCACAACUUGCACCCCUGAACUCCUAAGCAUGAAACAAAACCAACAUGUGGUAGAGGGGUUCACCCUCUACUGCCACAACAAAGAAUCAACCUCUUGGGCUCAUCACAUCACAUGGAACCAAGUUGUAAACAUGGAACAAAACUGAAAUCUAUCAUUCCCAGAAUUGUUCCAAAGUGGAAACUGACUUCACCAAUGGAUUCCUGGGAUGAUUCUACCCCAAAAACAUAUAUAAUACAUAGGCACUUGCGUAAAAUAAUUAGGCACAAACUUGAAAAUAAAAUCUACAUGGAAUCACAUAGAGUGAAUAGUGCAUCAUCACGUGUGCUUCCACUAGUUCAUCACUUAUACAUGCUCUUGCACAUGUCCACAACACCAAUGGUGCACAUGAGGGGUAAACCUCAUGCUCAUGUGCCUUAGCACUCCACCACACACUUACAUGUAUCAAGCACAACAUAAUAUAAACACCUACACAUGCUAAUGAGAACACACACACUAGAUUACACCACAUCAUCUAUACACCUACACAUAUAAACAUGCGCAUGUGCUCAUCAAGGCACUCCAUGCCUUUAGCAUGUGUGGGACACACACACACCAUCUCAUACAACAACACAAGAGCACCUACAUAUACACAAGGUAGGUGAGGGGGAAACCCACACACACACUCACAUCACAUACUUGCACAAGAUAGGACAUAAGUCCAUCAACAUGCACAUGGGAAAACACUCACACAUGCAUCUCAUUCUAGCCUAGUGCAUGCACACACACACACAUGACUAGAUCACACUCAAACAUGAGCUAACUCUCAUAACACUUAUGCACACAAGGUCCUUCACAUACAUAUUAACAUAGCUAGCAAAAUACUAGGAACAACAUGCUGUUUGGAGGCAAGCAAAAAAAUACCCCACUUGAAGAUCUAGCACACCACAUACAUCUAUGCCAGCAUACAAUGCAAAAACGGAAAAGAAUGCAACAAAAAAAAUAAUGGGGAGGGAUUCGAACCCAGACCCCCUGGUUACCAACACUGAACCAGCACCACCCUGCUCCUGCGCAUGCACUUGACAGAUACAGCGAAGAGAGCAGGUUAUGCUCUCUGCUGCAGUUGUUGUGCCGGAAAAAUGAAAAACAAAAGGUGAGCCGAGGGGGAAUCGAACCCACGACUAGCCACUGCGCCAAAACUACCACUACCACUCUGCUGCUCGUUGGGAUCUUAACAGGUGAGGGGAGUAAUCUCUCUUGAGCACCCCCUCAUGCCUAUCCUCUGCCCGACGGUGGCCGGAACAGGGGACGGUGCUCGCCGGCGAUACACUUUAAAUCAAGCUACGGCUACUCGAUGGAAGGAAGCCCUUCCUCCCAUGGUUCCAUUUCACCUACUAGCACUACUCGAGAGGGCCUGCAGCGACGGCUCGACGAGGCACGACGGCUCCGGCGACAGAGAAGGAACGGCGUCAACGCUACGGCCUACUGCUCGUGAUCUGGGACAGGGAAGAAGGGGAGAUGGAUCUACCUCACCUACUGGACGAGGCGGUUGCGUUGGCCGAAGAGGAAGUAGAGGAAGAAGGGGAAGGAGCCGCUCGGGGAAGAUCGUCGGGGAAGAAGGCCGCCGUCGUCGAGGAGAUGUAGCAGUGCCGAUCUUGUCGUCCUAGCCACGGGAAUGGGCUCCUGGAGGGUCCCGCGUGCUCGCCAAGGAGAUGGAUAGGCCGCAGGUGUACGGGCGCGACGGCGAGGAUCUUCUCAGCUUGCGGUCAUGGCGGAGGAGGUCGAUCCCCUUACCUGGUGUCGGCGACAGAGAGGGAGAAUGGGAUGGGAUGGAGGUGGCGGCGCGAGAGAGAAACCCUAGGCUGCACGGACACUAAUGGGGGAUUAUAUGGAGGAGGAGGAGGUGAGGGCAGCGCCUCGCGUCCGUGACGCCGUCUGUUGCUGCGGCUCUCUCUGCCUCUGUGAAGGAGCCUCACGGAGGAGGAGGACACGGAACGGCGUCUACACGAGAAGGAGGGGAGCUGGGCCUGCUAGUGGGAGGAGGACCACUAGUUGGUGCCAGAUAGAAGAAAAUUUAAAUCCCUGGGGUUUGCAAAUUACAAAAUAACCAGAGAAAGAAAAUAAAGCAAAGUCAAAUCUGUUGGGGUUAAAAACAAAACAAAAAUGCCCCUGGUCAUAAUGAUUUAUGACCUAUUUAAAUUAAUUGGAAAACAAAUAUUAGGAGCAACUAAAUAUUAAUAAAACAGAAUUUAUUGGACCGCUUUUGUGAAUACUAGCACCUUUAAAACAUAUUUUCAAAUCAGCAAAUCACAUCCUCACAAUCACCAAUAAUACAUGCUAAAACAUAGGCAUUUUUGAAAUAGGGAUGGGGCAAGAGAAUCUUGGCUUGAGAUAAAUAGAGAGGGGGUUGUUUUGAAACCCUAGUGCAAACCACAUAGUGCUAACUACUAUCCAACCACAUCCACAUCACUCCACUUAUCACACAUAUCAUCAUCACAUCACAACUCAUGUCACCACACCUCCACAUAUGAUCACAAGGCAACAAACACAAAGCAUGGAAUGGAUGGAAUGCAUGCAUGCAAAGGAAAAGAAAUCAAGGUGACAUCACAUGAAAUCAUAUGCAUUGAACUCUCAUAACAAUGACAAGUUGGACCCACAUAGAUAAGGUUCCAAAUAUGGCAAGUUACACACUUGGGGCAUUACAUCCUUGUAGCUUGCUACGACUCGGGGAUGCUUCGUAUGUCGUGUGCACUGCCUUAUACAUGAUGGCUACUGUAGGAUCGAGCCCAUGUGAUCAUAUCCAUGAAAAUAUCGGAUGGAAUCUCUGUCAUACAUUUGUUCCGAGAAAUCCUAGCUCAUACUUGGUUUACAAGUGGCUUUGAAUCAGAUGUUGUGGACAAUUGUUUGGACUCUAAUUUGCAUGAUUUGAAUGGAACUAACCUGGACUGACGCUGUUUUCAGCAGAAUUUCCAUGGUGUUGUUUUUUGCAGAAAUAAAAGUUCUCGGAAUGUCGUGAAAACUUACGGAGAUUUUUUCUGGAAUAAAAAAAACCUACGCAAAGAUCCACCGGAGGAGGUGGACCAGUGGGCCACAAGCCCACAGGCCGCGGCCACCCCCCUGGCCGCGCCGUGAGGGCUUGUGGGGCCCACGUGGCUCCACUGCCCCCAAACUCAGCUCUAUAUCUUCCGUCUCACCCGGAAAAAAAAUCAGAGAGAAGGUUUCAUCGCGUUUUGCGAUACGGAGGCGCCGCCACAUCCUGUUCUUCAUCUGGAGGGCAGAUCUGGAGUCCGUUUCGGGCUCCGGAGAGGGGAAAUCAUCUCCACCGUCAUCAUCAAGCUUUCUCCAUCAACAAUUCCAUGAUGCUCUUCAUCGUUCGUGAAAAAUCUCAUUGUAGGCUUGCUGGACGGUGAUGAGUUGGAUGAGAUCUAUCAUAUAAUCGAGUUAGUUUUUGACGGGGAUUGAUCCCUAGUAUCCACUAUGUUCUAGAUUGAUGUUGCUACUACUUGGCUAUGCUUAAUGCUUGUCACUAGGGCCUGCUACUGCAACAAAAGACCUUCCAAUGGCGCCAAAAAUAGGCACGUUGACGGGAGAAUACUUGACUUGAUCCUUCUGUUGCGGCUACGCCUUAAGGGACUUCCUAGGCAAGUAUGCAAAGGAUUUCCCCCGUGGCCUUGGAGCCUUGCAUUGGUGUUCCCUCGAAGUGGAAAGGGUGAUCUAGUGUAGCGGUGGUAAGUAUUUCCGUCAGUUUGAGAACCAAGGUAUCAAUCCAGUGGAGGAGUAUCUCAAGAUCCUGCACAAACACAAAAGCUUGCUCCCAACGCUAUGAAGGGGUUGUCAAUCCCUUAUAGAUUGUUUGCCAAGUGAGAACUAAAAGCAACAAAGUAACAAAGAAAAGUAAAAGCGGAGGUGUAAACGAUGGAUGUGAAUAGACCCCGGGGCCGUAGUGUUUACUAGUGGCUUCUCUCAUGAAAGAAAGUAGAUGAUGGGUGAACAAAUUACUGUCGAGCAAUUCAUAGAACCGCACAAAGUCGUGACGAUAUCUAUGUCAAUGAUUAUAUCUAUAGGCAUCACGUAAAAAACAAGUAGACCGAUACUUUCUGCAUCUACUACUAUUACUCCACACGUCGACCGCUAUCUAGCAUGCAUUUAGUGUAUUAAGUCCAUAAGAACAGAGUAAUGCCUUAAGCAAGAUGACAUGAUGUAGAGGGAUAAUCUCAAACCAAUGAUGAAAACCCCAUCUUUUUACCCUUGAUGGCAACUACUUAAUGUGUGCCUUGCUGCCCCUACUGUCACUGGGACAGGUCACCACAUGGUAGAACCCAAAACCAAGCACUUCUCCCAUUGAAAGAAUCAUAGAUCUACUUGACCAAACAAAACCCAAGACUCAGAGAGACUUACAAGGAUAUCAAAUCAUGCAUAUAAGAAAUCAGCAAAGACUCAAAAUAUAUCAUAGAUAAUCUGAUCACAAAUCCACAAUUCAUCGGAUCUCGACAAACACACCGCCAAAGAAGAUUACAUCAGAUAGAUCUCCAUGAAGAUCAUGGAGAACUUUGUAUUGAAGAUCCAAGAGAGAGAAGAAGCCAUCUAGCUACUAACUACGGAUCCUUAGGUCUGAAGUGAACUACUCACGAGUCAUUGGAGGGGCCAUGAUGAUGAUGAAGAAGCCCUCCAACUCCAAAGUCCCCUCCGGCUGGGCGUCGGGAAGGGUCUCCAGAUGAGAUCUUGCGGAAACGGAAGCUUGUGGCGGCGGAAAAGUAUUUUCGAGGCUCCCAUGAUUUUUUGCUGAAUUUUUGGGAAUAUAUAGCCAAGGAUCUAGGUCAGGGGGCGGUCAGGGAGGCCACAAGCCCUGACACCGCCGCCUCCCCCUGGUGGUGGAGUGGGAGCUUGUGGGCUCCCUGGAGCCCACCUGGCUUGGCCCAGAGGCCCCCUGAUCUUCUUCCGUUCGGGAAAAAAUCAUUUUGGGUUUUUUAUUCCGUUUGGACUCCGUUCCAAAAUCAUAUCAGAAAAGAGUCAAAAACACAGAAAAAACAGGAACUGGCACUUGGCACUGAAUUAAUAAGUUAGUCCCAAAAAAGAUAUAAAAGGUACAUAAAACAUCCAAAGAUGACAAGAUAACAGCGUGAAACCAUCAAAAAUUAUUGAUACGUUUGAGACGUAUCAAGCAUCCCCAAGCUUAACUCCUGCUCGUCCUCGAGUAGGGAAGUGAUAAACAAUGAAUUUUUUAUGCUUUCAUCCUACCUAGCAUAGGUGUCCUUUGUAAUUCCUCUUAUGUGACGUGAAUGUUCAGAUCCAUUAGAUUCAAAACAUUAGUUUUCUAUUGACGUGGAAACAAUAAUAAUUCAAGCAAACUAGCAAGGUAAUCAUGAACUUUCAAAAUAACAAGGCCAAAAGAAAGUUAUCCCUACAAAAGCUUAUAGUCUGGCUAUGCUCUAUCAUCAUUGCACAACGAAUUUAAAUCAUGCACAACCCCGGUAUUGGCCAAGUAAUUGUUUCACACCUUUACUUUCUCAAACCUUUUCAACUCUCACGCAAUACAUGAGCGUGAGCCACGGUUAUAGCACUAUAGAUGGUGUGGAAUGUGGUGGAGGUUGCAAGACAAAAAAGGAGAAGAUAGUCACAUUAACUAGGCAUAUCAAUGAGCUGUGGAGAUGCUCAUCAAUAUAUAUCAAUGUGAAUGAGUAGGGAUUGCCAUACAAAUGAUGCACUAGAGCUACGAGUAUGUGAAAGCUCUUAAAGAAAACUAGUGGGUGUGCAUCCAACUUGCUUGCUCACGAAGACCUAAGGCAACUUUGAGGAAGCCUAUCAUUGGAAUAUACAAGCCAAGUUAUAUAAUGAAAAUUUCCCACUAGCUAUAUGGUGGUGACAAAAUGAGAGACUCUCAAUCAUAAAGAUCAAGGUGCUUAAAAUUCAGAAGUGUGGAAAAAGUCGUAGCAUUGUCCCUUCUCUCUUUUUCUCUCAUUUUUUUUGGUGGGCUCUUUGGCCUCUUUUUUUCCUUUUUUUUGGUGGUCUUCUUUGGCCUCUUUUAUUUCCUCACAUGGGACAAUGCUCCAUUAAUGAUGAUCAUCACACUUUCAACUCAAAGCUUAGAGCAACUAUGACUCUAUAUGGAGUGCCUUCGGUAGUGUACCGUGGCAAUGAUCUAGCAUGGCAUAGACAUCAAUGGAAACAUCAUGCUAGCUAUCUUAGGAUCAUGCAAUGGCAAUGUAGACGUGGUGGCACAUGUCAUGGUGGUAGUUCCAUGGCAAUAUAUCUCGGAAUGACUUUGAAAAAGGCAUAGUAGGUAGGUAUGGUGGCUGUUUUGAGGGAGGCUAAUGGUGGGUUUUGUGCACCGGCGAAAGUUGCACGGCACUAAGAAUAUAGUGAUGGUGGUAGGUGAAAGUGCAUCUAAACCAUGGACUCAACAUUAGUCAUGACGAACUCAUAUACUUGUUGCAAAAGUUUUAUUAGUAAUCGAAACAAAGCAUUCAACGCAUACUCCUAGGGGAAGGGUUGGUAGGUAUAAACCAUCGCGUGAUCCCGACCGCCACGCAAAGGAUGACAAUCAAUAUACUAAUCAUGCUCAGGUUUCAUCACAUAGCGGUUCACCAUACGUGCAUGCUACGAGAAUCACUAACUUCAACACAAGUAUUUCUAGAUCCACAACACCUUACUAGCAUGACUUCAAUAUUACCAUAACCACAACUCAAAACUAAUUGAGAUGAAUCAAACUUCUCUAACUAUUCAAUGCACAUGAAGGUGGAAGUUUUCGUAUCCCUUUGGAUAACUACCCAUUUUGAGAUUACUUUCAAAGCAUAGAUCAACUACCAAGCCACGCACCGCUGUGCUCUAAAAGAUAUAAGUGAAGCACAUAGAGCAAAAGUAUCUAGCUCAAAAGAUAUAAGUGAAGCACAUGUGAGCUGAAUUGUCUACCAAAAGAUAUAGGUGAAGCUCGACAAAAUCACGGUGUGUGCAUGUCUCUCUCUCUAGGUGUGAAGCAAGGAUGAUUGUGACACAACAAAAAUAAAAGACUCCUAUGAUACAAGACGCCCCAAGCAAAAACACAUAACAUGUGGUGAAUAAAAUAUAGCGCCAAGUAACGUUACCGAUGGAUUGAAGACGAGAGAGGGGAUGCCUUCCCGGGGCAUCCCCAAGCUCAGGAUUUUACGGCAUUGUUGAAUAUCUUGGGGUGCCUUCGGCAUCCCCAAGCUUGAGCUCUUGCCACUCUUUAUAUCUUUGUCCAUAAGAACUUCACCCAAAACUUGAAAACUUCACAACACGAAACUUAAACAGAAUCUCGUGAUAACAUUAGUACAAGAAAGCAAACCACCACUUCCUUAGGUACUGUAGCAAACUUAAAUUAUACUUGUGCUGAUGUUGGGUUACUGUACUUUCAAUCUUCCAUGGCUAAUACCCCCCGAUACUAUCCAUAGUUUCAUCAAAAUAAGCAACCAACACAACAAAAACAGAAUCUAUUAACAGCAGACCAGUCUGUAGCAAUCUGUAUAUUUCGUAUACCUCUGGUACUACAAAAAUUCUGAACAAUUACGACAGUAUGAAGAAUUUGCGUAUCAAUCAGCAGCAAGAAGAAUCAACUCAAAAGCUCUUACAGCAAAACAAUGAAAAUUAUUUUCGUGAGCAGAAAGUUUCUGUCUUUUCCAACAUGACCAAACGAUCAUCCCCAAGACUAAUCAUAACGGUUUUGCUUGGCACAAACGCAAAAAGAAACACAAAAAACACAAUUUUAACAUAAUCAUGAAAGUGUGGAAAACACAAAACAGAAAGAAAAAGGAUAGAUUCGUUGGGUUGCCUCCGAACAAGCGCUUUUGUUUAACGCCCUUAUCUAGGCAAAAAGUGAUGGAAUCACGUAUAGUCAUCUUUGGUGCUCAAACCAUAGGUAGCCCUCAUCAUAGAUUCAUAAGGCAAGCUUAUUUUCUUUCUAGGAAAGUGCUCCAUGCCCUUUUUUAAAGGAAAUUGAAAUCUAAUAUUCCCUUCCUUCAUAUCGAUGAUAGCACCAAUAGUCCUUAGGAAAGGUCUACCAGGAAUAAUGGGACAUGAAGGAUUGCAAUCUAUGUCAAGUACAAUGAAAUCAACGGGUACAUAGUUCUUAUUUGCAACAAUAAGAACAUCAUCGAUCCUUCCCAUGGGUUUCUUGACAGUAGAAUCCGCAAGAUGCAAAUUAAGAGAACACUCUUCAAUCUCAUGAAAACCAAGAAUAUCACAUAAAGACUUUGGAAUCGCGGAAACACUAGCACCCAAAUCACAGAAAGCAUUGCACUCAUAGUUUUUGAUUUUGAUUUUGAUAGUAGGUUCCCACUCAUCAUGAAGUUUUCUAGGUAUAUAGACUUCUAUUUCGAGCUUCUCUUCAAGAGAUUUCAUCAUAGCAUAUACGAUAUGCGCGGUAAAGGCUUUGCUUUGGCUAUAAGCAUGUGGAGAGUUUGCAAUGGAUUGCAUGAAAGAAAUGCAUUCAAACAAGGAGCAAUUAUCAUAAUUGAAUUCCUUCAAAUCCAAAGUGGGAGUUUCAUUACUACCCAAAAUUUUGACUUCUUCUACUCCACUCUCCACACCUUUAUCAUCAAGAUAGGUGGACUCCGAAUCAUUGAGGCGUUUUUCAACCAAAGUGGGUUCAUAUCCAGCCCCUCCAUAAGUAGGUUUGACGCGCGAAAACAAAGAUGCAAGAGGAGACACACCAAGCACUUUAAGAUCUUCGUGAUUUGCAUCACUAGAACGCACCCUUUUAAACCAUUCAUGUCUAGCGCGAAUUUUGGCGGUUCUUUCUUUGCUCUCAUUCAUGGCGAUACGCAUAGCUUUCAAAGUUUCAUCCAAGUUGACCUUGGGAGGAGCUCAUCUAACUUUCAAAGCAUCAAUAUCACAAGACAUCCUAUCAACGCUUUUAGCCAAAUCGUCUAUUUUGAGUAGUUUUUCCUCUAUGGACGCACUGAAAAUCUUUUGAGAGUUGAUGAACUCUUUGAUAUUACUCUCUAGAUCAGAGGGUAAUUUGUUGUGAUUUCCAUAAGUAUUGUUGUAGGAAUUGCCAUAAUUGUUAGAGGAGUUACUAGGAAAAGGCCUAGGAACAUAGUUUCCUCUAAAAGCAUUAUUGUUGCCAAAAUUGUUCCUACCAACCAAAUUCACGUCCAAACUAGCAUUGCUACUCUCAAUCAAAGAAGAUAAUGGCAAGCUAUUAGGAUCUACGGUAGCGUUUCUACUAGCAACCAAAUUCAUCAACUCGUCCGUCUUAGCACUAAGCGAGUUAAUUUCUUCUAUAGCGUGCACCUUUUUGCUAGCAGGCGACCUUUCAGUGUGCCACUGAGAGUAGUUGGUCAUGAUAUUGUCUAUGAGUUUUGUAGCGUCUCCUAACGUGAUUUCCAUGAACGCUCCACCUGAGGCGGAGUCCAAGAUAUUGCGAGAAGCGAAAUUCAAGCCAACGUAAAAGAUUUGUAUAAUCAUCCACAAACUCAAGCCAUGAGCGGGACAAUUUCUAAUCAUAAGCUUCAUCCUCUCCCAAGAUUGUGCAACGUGUUCAUGAUCAAGUUGCUUGAAAUUCAUGAUAUCGUUACGUAAGGAGAUGAUCUUAGCCGGCGGAAAAUACUUGGAUAUGUAAGCAUCUUUGCACUUAUCCCAAGAAUCGAUACUAUUUAUUUGCAAAGAAGAAAACCAAGUUUUUGCGCGAUCUCGCAACGAGAAAGGAAAAAAGUUUCAACUUAAUCACGUCAUUACCCACAUCUCUUUUCUUAUGCAUGUCACAAAUCUCAAUGAAGGUAUUGAGAUGGGAUGCGGCAUCUUCACUAGGAAGGCCAGAGAAUUUCUCUUUCAUAACAAGAUUCAGCAAAGCUGCGUUGAUUUCAUACGAUUCCGCACUAGCAGCGGGAGCAAUCGGACUACUAAUAAAAUCAUUAUUAUUAGUGAUCGAGAAGUUGCAAAGUUUGGUGUUUUCAACCAUGAUGACUUCAACAAACAAACAAGCACACAAGCAAGCGAGAAAACCGGCAAAGGGAAACGACAAAGGCAAAAGAAAACGGCGAAGGAGAAAGGCAAAUGAAAACGACAAAUGUGAAGUGGGGGAGAGGAAAACGAGAGGCAACUGGCAACAAAAGUAAAUGCAAGAGAAGAGUUUGCGAGACCUACUUGGAUAGAUCUUGAUUUCUUCUCCCCGGCAAUGACACCAUAAAUACUUCUGCUACUGCAACAAAAGACCUUCCAAUGGCGCCAGAAAUAGGCACGUUGACGGGAGAAUACAUGGCUUGAUCCUUCUGCUGCGGCUACGCCUUAAGGGACUUCCUAGGCAAGUAUGCAAAGGAUUUCCCCCGUGGCCUUGGAGCCUUGCGUUGGUGUUCCCUCGAAGCGGAAAGGGUGAUGUAGCGUAGCGGUGGUAAGUAUUUCCCUCAGCUUGAGAACCAAGGUAUCAAUCCAGUGGAGGAGUAUCUCAAGAUCCUGCACAAACACAAAAGCUUGCUCCCAACGCUAUGAAGGGUUUGUCAAUCCCUUAUAGAUUGUUUACCAAGUGAGAACUGAAAGCAACAAAGUAACAAAGCAAAGUAAAAGCGGAGGUGUAAACGAUGGAUGUGAAUAGACCCGGGGGCCGUAGUGUUUACUAGUGGCUUCUCUCAUUGUAGUGCCCCGGAUGUAAACCUACCCUAUUUGGACCUACUUCAUGUGGGACCACCUUGACUUUGUCAUGAGAGUUAUCUAUGCAUGUAUGAUUUCAUGUGUCACCUUGUGUUCUUCUUUUGCAUGCAUGCAUCCAUGUCAUACCUUUCUUACCAUGCCUUGUGUGCUUGCUUCUAUACCUUGCCAUGUCUUGGAGUGGGCCUUGUAAUUUCAUGUGUUGAUGUCAUGUGAUGAUGGUGUGUGGAGUGUAGGAGUGGUUGCUUGGGAUUUUCAAAGCUCAUUGCAAUUUCAAACCCUUUUUCCUCUCCUAUUAUCUCAUGUUCAAAAUUCCAUCUUCACAAAAGCUGUUUUAAAUGUCUGGUGUUUAGAGGUUAUUGUGGAGAUGAUGAUGUGAUGGUGUGGAGUUUUAUUUUGGUCUUGAGGGUGAAUAUAAAUCACAAAACAGUAUAAUUAAUUGCUGUUUUGUAUUUAUUUAAAUGCCCCAUAAAAUUCCUUUUGCAUUUUAUUUAAAAAGCUUAGGUAUUUUUAGGCCCAGGGUCAUUUUUGUUUUGAUUUUAUAAUCAGUAGUAGCCCUGUGGUUUUUAUUUUCUUUCUCUGUAAUUUAUCUAAUUAGAAAUAAAUCUCCAGGGCUGUUUCUCUAUUUUCUUCUCUGGUGGGCUUCCCCCCACUCAGAGAGGCCCAGUGUCUCCUCUCCCCCUCGCGCAGCGCAGCCCACCGCGUCCCUCUUCCUCCUCCCGUCGACGUCACGCUGUACGACUCCUCCUCCUCCACCGAUUUGCCAUGGCUUGAUCCUGUGGCUCAAGCGCCUCCCCCGAGGUAAUAUAAGGUGGAGGGAACCUUCCUCCUCCCCUAGGGUUCGCUCUCCUUCCCGCAGCGCCGCCACCACCUCCCUCCUUUUCUUCUCCCUCUCCCUGAUAAGUCCUCUGUAGAGUAGGAACAGAGAGAGAGAGAGAGUUCGGCCGCCGCGUCUACCCCGUCUACUCCAUUGAGCAGCGCCGGCGGCCAUGUCAAGGGGCACGGGGACGGUCCCCGCGCUCCAUUUUCGUCCUCGGUGAGGUCGAGGGUCAUCUACAACGCCGGCCAGGAGCACGUCAAGGCGCCUGCUCCGGUGUUCUGCUCCGUCUACCUCCGUCGUCAGCAACCGGCAGCAGGGCCUUCUCCCGCGCGCCUCCCUCCUCUCCGGCCGGCGUCCACCACCGAGCGGCUACUCCUUCUUCCCCCGAGGUGAGCCGGCCCUCUCCUCCCUUCGCCCUCGUUGGAUCCGACGAGUCGGUUGCAGGAAGUCCCUGCCGUGCGGUAGCACCAGGUGUUGAUGCAGUCUGGAGCUUUACAUGUUGUGUGCAGUAGCAGUAGCAGUAGGAAGUUCUUCCUCCUCGUGGUGCAGCAGCGUAGCGUCUUGUUCUCCCCGCGACGCAGCAGCAGUAGCAGCAGUGCGGUGCACCGGCGGCCUCGCUGUUGCCGGCGCACCUCCGUGCAGUGCAGGCACGCAGCAGCAGUAGUAUUUUUCCCAAUACUACUCUAGUCUGUGAGAAGCCGUUUCGUAGCCCAGUGGUAACUAGCGUUGCGUGCCUGUUGGAGGGCGCGGGUUCGAUCCCCCCUCGGCGCUAUUUUUGUUUUCUAUUUUUCCUGCACAGUAGCAUCAGGUACAUGUUAGCCUGAUUGCCUACCCUACCUUGUCAACGAAGUGGCAGUGGUGUAGUGGUAGGCUCUGUUGUUGUGUACCAGGAGGUACUGGUUUCGAUUCCCAGGAGCGUGAUGCAUAUUUCUGUUUUUUUGUUUGCUUUCCUUUUAUUUUUUGUUGCUUCCUUUUUCUUAGGAAUAGACAGCAAGGUGUCCUAUUUAAUAUUUUUCCUGCUGGUGUAGAUGGGUGCUGAUUGUGUUGUGUGUGUGUUUUGCACACUAAUAUGGUGAUAGAUGGUGUUGGUGGCUUAAGUGAUAUGUGUGUGCAUGUGGUCUUGUUAGUUUAUGUUGGUGUGAUUGCAAGUAGGCAUGUGUGCAUAGGGGUUGUAAGUGAAGUUGCUGGUGUAGGUAUGGAGAUGUGUUUGUUCUGAGUGCACACACUUGUGGUACCUACUAAAAGUGUUUGAGAGGUGAUGCUUCCAAGUUACUUGCUUAGCAUUUUUCCCCCUCGUGUUGUUCUCUGGUUUAAGAGCAUGAUGUUGAUGUAUAUGAUGUGCUUGACAUAUGUGUGUGUGGGGAACUUCCCCACCUUUGCAAAACUAUGCACCUUCACAUGUUUAUAUGUGAGAGGGCAUGGUGUUUGUGUGUGGGGAUAGUUUGGUAGAUGUGCUUGUGAUGUUGAUGUGCAUGACACAAACAUGGGGUUCAAACCCCCAUGUGACUUUUUCAUUGUGCACAUGAACCCAACCUUUGUAGUUGUUGUCUUAGUAGGAUACCUUAUGGAGUUGACAUAUUCAGAUUUGUUGCAAGUUUGAUCUUUGAUUCCAUCUCUAGACUUGUUAUGUUAGUUUCGUUUCCAUGUCAUAGUGCUCGCUGUCUACCACUGAAAUUAAAUUGCCUCUUGAAAUGCCAUGAGCCCAAACAUCGUUCUCCUUCCUAGCAAACUUGUGUGGCUAAGUAGGCUUGCUCAGCUACUAAUGUUAGCAUUGCUAGUUGCAGGUGUUUUUGACUCAUGUGAUAAAGAUGAGCUUGAUAUCAUUAUCUUAAAUUCUGUUAUUUAAUUAAUGCACCUAUAUACUUGGUAAAUGACGGGAGGCCUAGCCUUUUUCCGGGUGCUUUGUUCCGUUAUUGCCACCUUAGUUAUCGGUUACCGGUGUUUGAUUCCAUAAUGAUCGCUCCUAACACGUUCGGGGUUGUUAUGGGGACCCCCUCGAUAAAUCGCGUAGUACUAAGGCUUGUCCGGCAGGACCCAACAUUGCUAUUAAUUUGCUAAUCACUUAAUAAUAAACUGCAUAGGGAAUAGCUACCCCAAGGAUUUAAUCAACAACCCGGGCCAGUGCUCCUCAUGAGUGUUGGUCCAAACUGGGCAGACUAUGGGGCCACCACAGGGCAACCUGAGGUUUGGUAUACCUGUAGUGUGACUCAUCCGGCGUGUCCUGAGACUGAGAUAUGCGGCUCUUAUCAGGGUCGCCGACACGUCGGGAGGUCCUGCUAGCAUUGCCUUACCUUAGCGGUAUAUCUUGCGUAUAGGAAUCCCAGUGAAGCUUUGGUUCCCCCAGAGUUGAGGUUUUCCUCUAAGGAAUCCGACGAGAUCACGAGAUUCGUGAUAGAGGAUGCCUUUGCGGCCUGUGUUCGUUUGUGAUGGAGUAGUUGGAGCACCCCUGCAGGGUUUAAUCUUUCGGAAAGCCGUGCCCGCGGUUAUGUGGAAACUUGGAAUAUUUUGUUAACAUCCGGUAUUAGAGAACUUAAACAUAAACUAAUAAAACUGCCAACUGUGUGCGUAACCGUGACUGUCCCUUCGAAGAUCUCUCUUCGAUCGGGAACACGGUGGGGUUAUGAAUGCCGUAGGUAGGUGUUCAGGAUCACUUAGUGAUCAAGUAAUCCCGACCGCUAGCGUAGACCACCUUCACUUCUACUUUGCGUAAGUUAGCCACUUAAUCAAGCUUAGGAUGCUGCAGCCUGAUACACUUCACCCUUACCUUACCCAAUAACAUGACUAGUUCUGGCACCAAGGUCUUGGAUUGUUGAGUCCCCGUGGCUCACGGAUUCCUCCGAAACUCCCAGCAGGUACAGGUACCCCAGAGACAGAUGAUCCCGACGGCACCCAGCUGGCGUGGCAGUACGACGAGGAGACAGACCGCCUCUACGUGAACUAUCCAGAGGACUGAGGCGUGGUCGUGAUCGUGGGCCUGCAGGUAGGGUAGCAUAGCAUUUUCCAUGUGUUGUAGUCCGUAGCGGAACUACCUUGUUUGUAUCUGUGUUGUAUUCUGAGUUAUUAAUAAGAAGAUAGUUGAAUCCCG